rnacentral:rRNA from 1 species
UGGGGAAUCUUGGACAAUGGGCGCAAGCCUGAUCCAGCCAUGCCGCGUGCAGGAUGAAGGCGUUAUGCGUUGUAAACUGCUUUUAUAUAGGAAGAAAUAGUCCUUGCGAGGAAAGUUGACGGUACUAUAUGAAUAAGCACCGGCUAACUCCGUGCCAGCAGCCGCGGUAAUACGGAGGGUGCAAGCGUUGUCCGGAUUUAUUGGGUUUAAAGGGUGCGUAGGCGGUUUAUUAAGUCAGUGGUGAAAGACGGUCGCUCAACGAUUGCAGUGCCAUUGAUACUGGUAGACUUGAGUAUGAUUGAGGUAGCUGGAAUGGAUAGUGUAGCGGUGAAAUGCAUAGAUAUUAUCCAGAACACCAAUUGCGUAGGCAAGUUACUAAGUCAUAACUGACGCUGAGGCACGAAAGUGUGGGUAUCAAACAGGAUUAGAUACCCCUGUAGUCCCUGAGCGGGCUGGCAAGGCGCAU